CCCUGCCAUUUGUACACACCGCCCGUCGCUACUACCGAUUGAACGUUUUAGUGAGGUAUUUGGAUUGGACCUCGCUAGGUUUACGCCUGGCGUGCUGUCCGAGAAGACUCCCGAACUUGAGCGUUUAG
rnacentral:rRNA from 1 species